rnacentral:sRNA from 1 species
GAAUCCUGUUGCCUUGCGUCGUUCUUGCUGGCGGGACAUUGGGCACGCGACAAAAAUGUAUGCAGAAGAAGGUAGCCCUUCCACUGCAAAGAUGAAACACCAGAGACAAAAAGCAAGUUGAGAAGAAAAGGUUUAUCUGUUUAUCCACUGCUGUUCACCACUGAAGAAAGUCAGGACAGAAACUCAAUCAUGGCAGGAGCCUGGAGGCCAUGGAGAGGGCUCAGAUACACGGUGUUUUCCUGUGUCUUUGAUUUGCAUACUAAACCAAUUCUGUUGAUCCUACAUGCAUAUUUCUCAAAAGAAAAUAAUUUCAUUGAGAUAGUUGACAUAUCAAGAAGGCAAAGAGAAAAUAGAAGAAAAGAAGGACCAAAAAGAGAAAAGAAAAUUUCUAAAUGUACUCUUCAUAAUAUUCUAGUGUACUAGAUAGGAUACUUUUAAACAAUUGAAAGCACUGGUCUCCUUAGAAGAUAUGAUGAACAUCAUACACAAGAUGCAAUAAAAAAUCAUCUAUGCUCAUGGGACAUAGAAAUAGUCUCAGCCAACAAUAUCCAAGACACUGUCUUUGUUGAAACUUACUGAUGAAUCCAGGCAGGGAAUCA